CCUACGGGUGGCAGCAGUAGGGAAUCUUUCACAAUGGGCGAAAGCCUGAUGGAGCCACGCCGCGUGCAUGAUGAAGGCCUUCGGGUUGUAAAGUACUUUUAUCAGCGAGAAAGAUGGUGGUGACUUAUGAAUAAGUGUCUGCUAACUCCUCGCCAGCAGCCGCGGUCAUACGUAGUAUCCGAGCACUAUCCGGAGUGUCUGGUUGUAACGAUUUGCGUAGGUAGGAGAAUUAGUAGCGAGUGAAAUCUGGUGGCUCAACCAUUCAGACUAUUAGCUAAACUGUUAAGCUAGUGACCGUUAGGGGGAACUGGAAUUUCUAGUGUAGGGGUGAAAUCCGUAGAGAUUAGAAGGAACACCAAUAGCGUAGGCAGGUUACUGGGACGGUUCUGACACUAAGGCACGAAAGCGUAGGGAGCAAACGGGAUUAGAUACCCCAGUAGUC
rnacentral:rRNA from 1 species